rnacentral:rRNA from 1 species
AUUGAACGCUGGCGGCAGGCUUAACACAUGCAAGUCGAGCGGAGAUGAGGUGCUUGCACCUUAUCUUAGCGGCGGACGGGUGAGUAAUGCUUAGGAAUCUGCCUAUUAGUGGGGGACAACAGCCCGAAAGGAAUGCUAAUACCGAAUACGUCCUACGGGAGAAAGCAGGGGAUCUUCGGACCUUGCGCUAAUAGCUGAGCCUAAGUGGGAUUAGCUAGUUGGUGGGGUAAAGGCCUACCAAGGCGACGAUCUGUAGCGGGUCUGAGAGGAUGAUCCGCCACACUGGGACUGAGACACGGCCCAGACUCCUACGAGAGGCAGCAGUGGGGAAUAUUGGACAAUGGGGGGAACCCUGAUCCAGCCAUGCCGCGUGUGUGAAGAAGGCCUUAUGGUUGUAAAGCACUUUAAGCGAGGAGGAGGCUACUGAGACUAAUACUCUUGGAUAGUGGACGUUACUCGCAGAAUAAGCACCGGCUAACUCUGUGCCAGCCGCCGCGGUAA